AUUUAUCUCUUAUUCUCCUGCGGCUGGACUCUGGGAUUUGCAACGAGCCGACGACUCCUUCGACACUUCGACCGACCGACAGUGAUAGGGAACUAAAACUAAUUUGAAAAUUGUUUGGAGUAUGAAAGAAGAGACUAUCUUAAUAUGUUGCUCUAUUGUUGUUGAAUGACGAGUGUUCAAUUCACUCUGUGCACAGCCAUAUCAAUCUCUGCUAAUCCGUUC